UAGACAGAAGCUAAUGGGUUAUGGCGUCUAGCUGUUAACUAGAAUGAUAUGGGAUCGAAGCCCAUCUGUCUAGGGG
rnacentral:tRNA from 1 species